rnacentral:rRNA from 1 species
CCCUUAGAUAUCCUGGGCCGCACGCGCGCUACACUGAUGCAUUCAACAAGCCUAGCCUUGACCGAGAGGUCCGGGUAAUCUUUGAAACUGCAUCGUGAUGGGGCUAGAUUAUUGCAAUUAUUAAUCUUCAACGAGGAAUGCCUAGUAAGCGUGAUUCAUCAAAUCGCGUUGAUUACGUCCCUGCCCUUUGUACACACCGCCCGUCGCUCCUACCGAUUGAAUGAUCCGGUGAGGCCCCCGGAUUGUGGCAAUGGCUCUGGUUCGCCAGACCAAUGCUGCGAGAAGCUGUCCAAACCUUAUCAUUUAGAGGAAGGAGAAGUCGUAACA